rnacentral:rRNA from 1 species
GAUGAACGCUGGCGGCGUGCCUAAUACAUGCAAGUCGAGCGAACAGACGAGGAGCUUGUUCCGCUGACGUUAGCGGCGGACGGGUGAGUAACACGUGGAUCCCCCCCCUAUAUGACUGGGAUCAUCUCGAGAAACCGGAGCUAAUACCGGAUAAUCUCUUGAACCGCAUGGUUCAAUAGUGAAAUACGGCUUUGCUGUCUCUUAUAGCGGGUUCCGCGCCGCAUUGGCUAGUUGGUACGGUAACGGGUUACCAAGGGUACGAGGCGUAGCCGACCUGAGAGGGUGAUCGGCCACACUGGAACUGAGACAGGGUCCAGACUCCUACGGGAGGCAGCAGUAGGGAAUCUUCCGCAAUGGGCGAAAGCUUGACGGAGCAACGCCGCGUGAGUGAUGAAGGUCUUCGGAUCGUAAAGCUCUGUUAUUAGGGAAGAACAAAUGUGUAAGUAACUAUGCACGUCUUGACGGUACCUAAUCAGAAAGCCACGGCUAACUACGUG